rnacentral:lncRNA from 1 species
AGCAAAAAAGAGCAAUAACAAAAGGUGGAAGCGAAAGUCGAAGCCCGACGCAGAAAGCUUCUUGGUAUAAACAGAAGCAGCCGGGGGGAGGAGUGCUAGCCCGGCCAGUUGGCCCGGGAAGCUCCAGCUCAUACUAUGGAGGAAUCCCAUAUUGAAACCUAAUCGGUCAGAGUUCCUUCGGAGUCAGAGAGCUAGGGAUGGUGUCUGGUACAA